rnacentral:rRNA from 1 species
CACCCAUGCAUGUUUUUGACAUUUGAAAAAUGGACUGCUCAGUAAUACUCACUUUAUUUUAUGUAAAUUUUUAAUUAACUACGUUAAAGUGUAGAUAAGAUGUUUACAGUAAGAGUGAGACCUAUCAGCUAGUUGUUAAGGUAAUGGCUUAACAAGGCUGUGACGGGUAACGGUAUUACUUUGUAAUAUUCCGGAGAAGGAGCCUGAGAGACGGCUACUAAGUCUAAGGAUUGCAGCAGGGGCGAAACUUGACCUAUGGAUUUUAUYUGAGGCAGUUAUGGGAAGUAAUAUUAUAUUGUUUCAUAUUUUAAAAGUAUAUGAGGUGAUUAAUUGGAGGGCAAAUCAAGUGCCAGCAGCCGCGGUAAUACUUGUUCCAAGAGUGUGUAUGAUGAUUGAUGCAGUUAAAAAGUCCGUAGUUUAUUUUUUUAAAAAGCAA